CUCCUUCCUUCUGUUAUCUUCUAUAUCGGUCUCUACCUAGGAUUGAACUCACAGCCUCCGGAUUGUGAGACGAGAGCUCCGCUCCUAGGCCACCGC